GACGAACGCUGGCGGCGUGCCUAAUACAUGCAAGUCGAGCGAAUCAUGAGGUGCUUGCACCUCUUGGUUAGCGGCGGACGGGUGAGUAACACGUGGGCAACCUGCCUGUAAGACUGGGAUAACUUCGGGAAACCGGAGCUAAUACCGGAUAAUCCUUUUCCUCUCAUGAGGAAAAGCUGAAAGUCGGUUUACGCUGACACUUACAGAUGGGCCCGCGGCGCAUUAGCUAGUUGGUGAGGUAACGGCUCACCAAGGCGACGAUGCGUAGCCGACCUGGGAGGGUGAUCGGCCACACUGGGAAUGAGCCACGGCCCAGACUCCUACGGGAGGCAGCAGUAGGGAAUCUUCCGCAAGGGACGAAAGUCUGACGGAGCAACGCCGCGUGAGCGAUGAAGGCCUUCGGGUCGUAAAGCUCUGUUGUUAGGGAAGAACAAGUACCGGAGUAACUGCCGGUACCUUGACGGUACCUAACCAGAAAGCCACGGCUAACUACGUGCCAGCAGCCGCCGUAAGAC
rnacentral:rRNA from 1 species